ensembl:processed_transcript expressed sequence AW047730
UCGGGCAGGGCUGCGAGAACCUCUGUCCAAACCCUGGGAGAGUGGCCACGAGCCCGCUGCGGGAGCAGCCCUGUCCCCCAACAGCAAAACCCGGAGGGCCCGAAGAAUUGCUCGGGGUUCGAGGAAAAUGAAAUGACCUAACACUAGAGUCCUGGUUGCUCGGCUGCGAGCCGGAUCCCUCGGCGCUGCAGGAGAUCGACCUGCGGGGCCCGGGACGCUGUUGGCGAUUUCGGACCCGGGGGAAGCUCGCAGAGCCAGUCCCGGGGUCCGUUCGCCCAGCCCUAGCCUUAGGGUGCGGACGGACCCGCCGCGGGGGCCCAGCGUCCGGGAGAACCGGGCCGCUGGAGACGAAAGCGCGGGAGUGGCCGCGCCCCCGGCCCCCAGUCCUUCUCCCGGGGCCAAGCCACCCUGUCAUCGCCGGGACAUCACGGGACACCACGCGGCCAGCCGAGGGUUCAAAGCCUUCGGCCGGCCUUCCCUGCGCCCCACCGCGCGGUGGACUGGGGCGGCAAUUGGCGUUCUUCGUCUGAGCGAGGUCUGGGGUAGAGCGAGCGAGCAAGAGAGCUGCCAGGCUCAGGCUCCGGCUCCCGCCGCGCCCCAAGAGGCUCACCCACGGGCAGUUCCCUGACUGAGCAGAAGGAAGGACGAAGCAGUAGAAAGAAUCCCACCCUAACCCUCCCCUGUGGGGCGGAACCUGAAGGAGCUGGCUGACGGGCUCCCAACCGCUGGGUCCUCCACUGGGCUCCUGUGCCUCGCAGUGUCCCCCUCGGGAAGUUUCUCUUUCUGACUAUUUUCCCAUCCUCCCGCUUCUGCCUCCUCAGCUCUCUCACUAAACAUAGCCACAAAGAAACUGGCUGGAUGCAGGAAUGAAGGCCAAUAAAGAGAUUCAAGGUAGCCGUGGAGCCUUUACUGAAGAACCCUGUAUGAACCGCAGGGGAUUUUUUUGUUGUUGUUGUUGUUUGUUUUGUUUUGUUUUGUUUUCUGCACAGACAUUAGAAUAAAACCCUGAGGUUGUUUCC